rnacentral:rRNA from 1 species
GAAUUUUGGACAAUGGGGGCAACCCUGAUCCAGCCAUCCCGCGUGUGCGAUGAAGGCCCUCGGGUUGUAAAUCACUUUUAGCAGGGAAGACACGGCUCUGGCUAAUACCUGGAGCUGCUGACGGUACCUGCAGAAUCAGCACCGGCUACCUACGUGCACGCAGCCGCGGUAAUACGUAGGGUGCAAGCGUUAAUCGGAAUUACUGUGCGUACAGCGUGCGAAGGCGGUUCGGCAAGAAGGAUGUGAAAUCCCAGGGCUUAACCUUGGAACUGCAUUCUUAACUGCCGGGCUAGAGUAUGUCAGAGGGGGGCAGAAUUCCGCGUGUAGCAGUGAAAUGCGUAGAGAUGCGGAGGAAUACCGAUGGCGAAGGAAGCCCCCUGGGAUAAUACUGACGCUCAUGCACGAAAGCGUGGGGAGCAAAC